UACGUAGGGUGCAAGCGUUAAUCGGAAUUACUGGGCGUAAAGCGCGCGUAGGCGGUCACUUAAGUCUGAGGUGAAAGGUUCAGCGCUCAACGUGAACAGUGCCUUGGAUACUGGGUGACUUGAGUUCGGGAGGGGGCAGUGGAAUUCCAGGUGUAGCGGUGAAAUGCGUAGAUAUCUGGAGGAACACCGAUGGCGAAGGCAGCUGCCUGGCCCAGAACUGACGCUGAGGUGCGAAAGCGUGGGGAGCGAACGGG
rnacentral:rRNA from 1 species